rnacentral:rRNA from 1 species
UGACCUCGGAUCAGGUAGGGAUACCCGCUGAACUUAAGCAUAUCAAUAAGCGGAGGAAAAGAAACCAACCGGGAUUGCCUCAGUAACGGCGAGUGAAGCGGCAAGAGCUCAAAUUUGAAAGCUGGCUCCUUCGGAGUCCGCAUUGUAAUUUGCAGAGGAUGCUUUGGGUGCGGCCCCCGUCUAAGUGCCCUGGAACGGGCCGUCAGAGAGGGUGAGAAUCCCGUCUUGGGCGGGGUGUCCGUGCCCGUGUAAAGCUCCUUCGACGAGUCGAGUUGUUUGGGAAUGCAGCUCUAAAUGGGUGGUAAAUUUCAUCUAAAGCUAAAUACUGGCCGGAGACCGAUAGCGCACAAGUAGAGUGAUCGAAAGAUGAAAAGCACUUUGAAAAGAGAGUUAAACAGCACGUGAAAUUGUUGAAAGGGAAGCGCUUGCGACCAGACUCGCCCGCGGGGUUCAGCCGGCAUUCGUGCCGGUGUACUUCCCCGUGGGCGGGCCAGCGUCGGUUUGGGCGGCCGGUCAAAGGCCCCUGGAAUGUAGUGCCCUCCGGGGCACCUUAUAGCCAGGGGUGCAAUGCGGCCAGCCUGGACCGAGGAACGCGCUUCGGCACGGACGCUGGCAUAAUGGUCGUAAACGACCCGUCUUGAAACACGGACCAAGGAGUCUAACAUCUACGCGAGUGUUCGGGUGUCAAACCCGUGCGCGCAGUGAAAGCGAACGGAGGUGGGAGCCCCCUUG